rnacentral:rRNA from 1 species
UACGUAGGUGGCAAGCGUUGUCCGGAUUCACUGGGCGUAAAGGGUGCGUAGGUGGUGAGGUAAGUCGGAUGUGAAAGCUCGGAGCUCAACUCCGAAAUGGCAUUGGAAACUACCUUGCUCGAGGGUUGGAGGGGGGACUGGAAUGCUUGGUGUAGCAGUGAAAUGCGUAGAUAUCAAGCGGAACACCAGUGGCGAAGGCGGCUCACUGGCCCGUAACUGACGCUGAGGCACGAAAGCGUGGGGAGCAAACAGG